rnacentral:tRNA from 1 species
GGCCUCGUAGCUCAGCUGGUAGAGCAUGCGCGUACAAAGCGUAGGCGGUGUCCAUGCUUGGGUUCGAAUCCCACCGAGGCUA